rnacentral:rRNA from 1 species
UCCGUAGGUGACCUGCGGAAGGAUCAUUAACGAACUCUCGAAGGUCGCCGUUGCUGCUGGGCUUCUCGCGAGGUCAUCGUGCACGCGGUCUCUCUUCUCCGUUCUCCCAAUCUACCCCUAUCUGUGCACCCUUCGGUAGGCUGAGAUCUCUCGGCUUACGGCUUCUCUCACAACAUCUCUCAAUCGAAUCAGUGCGAACGGCAGACGCUUCGAGCCUGUCUCGAGCGAUAGCAACAUGUGUAUAACUUUCAACAACGGAUCUCUUGGCUCUCGCAUCGAUGAAGAACGCAGCGAAAUGCGAUAAGUAAUGUGAAUUGCAGAAUUCAGUGAAUCAUCGAAUCUUUGAACGCACCUUGCGCCCCUUGGUACUCCGAGGGGUAUGCCUGUUUGAGUGUCAUCAGACCAUCAACGCCGACCCUUUAUCGGCGCUUGGAGUUUGCGGCGUGCGGGGGAGAGAGUUGACUCUCGCAGGCGACCACCCCUCCGCUCCCUGCGGAAUGCAUCAGUGGGCUACUCACCUUCAGUCCUGCCUCGGCGUUGAUAGCUGUCUACGCCCCCGGUCUGGGCCGUGUCCAUCGAGUGCCCGCUUCGAACAGUCGGCCGUCCGACAGAAUAACUGGCUGACGAUUUGACCUCAAAUCAGGUAGGAUCACCCGCUGAACUUAAGCAUAUCNNAAGGGGGGAGAGAGAAAAANNUUUUGGAGGUUCGGUGCGAUUUUGAGCGUAGUAAAUCUUUCACGAGAAUGUGAAAGCCUCGUAUCGGGCCCGGUCAUACAACCCAUAUCCCUCGCGAUUGACCUCGGAUCGGUAAGGAUGUCGCUGAGCUAACAUAUACAAGAAUGCAAUCGGAAGUAGUGCAAAUUGUUGUUUUCCUGCUAUGCCAAUCUGUCCCGCCCGCCGCAAAUCUGAAUAUAUCUAAAUAAAAAAAAGCGUUAGUAU